CGUACCUACGGGGGGCAGCAGUGGGGAAUAUUGGGCAAUGGGCGCAAGCCUGACCCAGCAACGCCGCGUGAAGGAAGAAGGCCCUCGGGUUGUAAACUUCUUUUAUUCGGGACGAAACAAAUGACGGUACCGAAUGAAUAAGCCACGGCUAACUACGUGCCAGCAGCCGCGGUAAUACGUAGGUGGCAAGCGUUAUACGGAUUUACUGGGUGUAAAGGGCGUGUAGGCGGGAGAGGAAGUCAGCCGUGAAAUUCCAGGGCUCAAACCUGGCACUGCGUCUGAAAC
rnacentral:rRNA from 1 species